rnacentral:rRNA from 1 species
GAUGAACGCUAGCGGCAGGCCUAACACAUGCAAGUCGAGGGAGGAGCUUUCGGGCUUCGACCGGCGUACGGGUGCGUAACGCGUAUACAAUCUGCCUUUCACAUAGGGAUAGCCCGAAGAAAUUUGGAUUAAUACCUAAUGGUAUAUAGGAGUGGCAUCACCUUUAUAUUAAAGCUGAGGCGGUGAAAGAUGAGUAUGCGUUCUAUUAGCUAGUUGGAGAGGUAACGGCUCCCCAAGGCGACGAUAGAUAGGGGUUCUGAGAGGGAUAUCCCCCACACUGGUACUGAGAUACGGACCAGACUCCUACGGGAGGCAGCAGUGAGGAAUAUUGGACAAUGGUCGGAAGACUGAUCCAGCCAUGCCGCGUGCAGGAAGACGGCCUUAUGGGUUGUAAACUGCUUUUGCAGGGGAAGAAUAAGGAGUACGUGUACUUUGAUGACGGUACUCUGCGAAUAAGCAUCGGCUAACUCCGU